rnacentral:rRNA from 1 species
UUGAUCCUACGGGGGGCAGCAGUGGGGAAUAUUGCGCAAUGGACGAAAGUCUGACGCAGCGACGCCGCGUGAGGGAUGAAGGUUUUCGGAUCGUAAACCUCUGUCAGGAGGGAAGAAAGCGCAUGGCGCCAAUCAGCCAUGCGUUUACGGUACCUCCAAAGGAAGCGCCGGCUAACUCCGUGCCAGCAGCCGCGGUAAUACGGAGGGCGCGAGCGUUAAUCGGAAUUACUGGGCGUAAAGCGCGCGUAGGCUGUUGUGUAAGUUGGGUGUGAAAUCCCACGGCUCAACCGUUGACCAGCCCUUGG